rnacentral:rRNA from 1 species
GAUAAACGCUGGCGGCGUGCCUAAAACAUGCAAGUCGAACGGACACUUCGGUGUUAGUGGCGAACGGCUGAGUAACACGUGGAUGACCUGCCCCGGAGCGGGGGAUAACUGCCCGAAAGGGUGGCUAAUACCGCAGAUAUCAUGGAUUCGUUUUCAUGAUUGAACCGAAUGAGGGUUCUGGGAGGGGUCCGCGGCCGAUUAGCUAGCUGGUGGGGUAAUGGCCUACCAGGGCGACGAUCGGUAGCUGGUCUGAGAGGAUGAUCAGCCAGACUGGGACUGCGAACGGCCCAGACUCCUACGGGAGGCAGCAGUUAGGAAUUUUGGGCAAUGGGCGAAAGCCUGACCCAGCAACGCCGCGUGGGUGAAGAAGGCCCUCGGGUCGUAAAGCCCUUUUCCCAGGGAAGAUGAUGACGGUACCUGGGGAAUCAGCCCCGGCUAACUACGUGCCAGCAGCCGCCGUAAAAC